GGGCCCGUAGCUCAGCCAGGUGGAGCGCCGGGCUCUUAACCCGGGGGUCGGGGGUUCAAAUCCCCCCGGGCCCG
rnacentral:tRNA from 2 species